CAACGGUGUACCAGCGUUCCCAAAGUAUACAGCCAAACUGACUUCACACACAGCACAGGCGUGCAAUAAAGAGGCAUGCGUGAUUAAAGAGCAAUAAAACGGGCAAAUUAAAAAAAUCCAUGCUGGCAGGAUGUCGUCAGGCUGCUGCCCCAGCUCUGUGUGUCUGUGUGAGGAGUCAGUGAUAAGAUCCGGAGCAGUGCCGGAGGAGGAAACCAGCGACGACGAGGCGCCGACCAACAUGGAUAUCGCGCUUUUAAAAGAGCAGUAUAACUCAAUCAGGGAGAAACAGAAGCGGGAGACACGGGUGGUUUGCUUUAGAAAAGCUGCAUCAAACAAUGAGGAGAUCUCCGGCAAGGCUCUGGUCAAUGUGGUUCCCAUGCGACAGGCCAGGCGCUCUCUAAUGAGGCAGGCCUCUCUCCAGGACACUCACUUUGAUUUUGUCAGAGAUCAUGAAAGCUCCCCCUGGCGCACUCACCUGGGAAUGUACCGGAGGACCUGUGCAGCGGUUGAUCCCAAUCAACAUAAACACACCAAGGUCAAGACCAGCACCGGAGACUCAAUAUCAUCGACGUCUGUAGGCAAUGGGGAACACAGUGUCGAAAUCACAGAUUCAAGCGGCCAUUUAUCUGAGGAAUGUGAAGGGGUUGAUGAUGACAAAUGUCAAAAAGACUACAGCUCUGAGGAAACCAGGAAGUUUUCUGCACCUGAAAUUCUAACCAGGCGGCUAAGCAGCAGCAGCAGCUGCCGGUCCAAUCACUCCAUGACAAGUGCAUACCAUUACCCCUUCCCUCAACUCAAAAGUCCCAGGAAGUCUGAGGCUGCACGCAGACUCGGACUUUACUCUUCAUUCUAAUGAGACUCUACAAACUGCUACAAAAAAAGAGCGAUGUGCAAUACAUUUUUUUAAACCUAAAUCUUGAUCACACAGAUUGUAACGUUGUAUGUUAGUACACCAGGGGCUAGAUACAUGAAAAACUCCACAAAGAAAAAAAAAGAAGAAUCUUAAAAUAAGCACUUAUGAAGUAUCAAA
rnacentral:lncRNA from 1 species